GUGGGGAAUAUUGCACAAUGGGGGAAACCCUGAUGCAGCGACGCCGCGUGAGUGAAGAAGUAUUUCGGUACGUAAAGCUCUAUCAGCAAGGAAGAAAAUGACGGUACUUGACUAAGAAGCCCCGGCUAACUACGUGCCAGCAGCCGCGGUAAUACGUAGGGGGCAAGCGUUAUCCGGAUUUACUGGGUGGAAAGGGAGCGUAGACGGUAUGGUAAGUCAGAUGUGAAAGCCCGGGGCUCAACCCCGGGACUGCAUUUGAAACUAUCAGACUAGAGUGCAGGAGAGGUAAGUGGAAUUCCUAGUGUAGCGGUGAAAUGCGUAGAUAUUAGGAGGAACACCAGUGGCGAAGGCGGCUUACUGGACUGUAACUGACGUUGAGGCUCGAAAGCGUGGGGAGCAAACAGGAUUAGAUACCCCAGUAGUCC
rnacentral:rRNA from 1 species